UAAAAGUGCUGCAAGGCACUGGUAGAGGAUGGACUUAUGGCGCAUUAGCUGGUUGGUGAGGUAACGGCUCACCAAGGCGACGAUGCGUAGCCGACCUGAGAGGGUGACCGGCCACACUGGGACUGAGACACGGCCCAGACUCCUACGGGAGGCAGCAGUAGGGAAUUUUCGGCAAUGGGGGGAACCCUGACCGAGCAACGCCGCGUGAAGGAAGAAGGAAUUCGUUCUGUAAACUUCUGUUAUAAAGGAAGAAAGACGGAUGGAGGAAAUGACAUCCGAGUGACGGUACUUUAUGAGAAAGCCACGGCUAACUACGUGCCAGCAGCCGCGGUAAUACGUAGGUGGCAAGCGUUAUCCGGAAUUAUUGGGCGUAAAGAGGGAGCAGGCGGCAGCAAAGGUCUGUGGUGAAAGACUGAAGCUUAACUUCAGUAAGCCAUAGAAACCGGGCAGCUAGAGUGCAGGAGAGGAUCGUGGAAUUCCAUGUGUAGCGGUGAAAUGCGUAGAUAUAUGGAGGAACACCAGUGGCGAAGGCGACGAUCUGGCCUGCAACUGACGCUCAGUCCCGAAAGCGUGGGGAGCAAAUAGGAUUAGAUACCCUAGUAGUCCACGCCGUAAACGAUGAGUACUAAGUGUUGGAAGU
rnacentral:rRNA from 1 species